rnacentral:rRNA from 1 species
UGGGGAAUAUUGGACAAUGGGCGCAAGCCUGAUCCAGCCAUGCCGCGUGAGUGAUGAAGGCCCUAGGGUUGUAAAGCUCUUUCAGCGAGGAGGAUAAUGACGUUACUCGCAGAAGAAGCCCCGGCUAACUUCGUGCCAGCAGCCGCGGUAAUACGAAGGGGGCUAGCGUUGUUCGGAAUCACUGGGCGUAAAGCGCACGUAGGCGGACUUUUAAGUCAGGGGUGAAAUCCCGGGGCUCAACCUCGGAACUGCCUUUGAUACUGGAAGUCUGGAGUCCGAGAGAGGUGAGUGGAACUCCGAGUGUAGAGGUGAAAUUCGUAGAUAUUCGGAAGAACACCAGUGGCGAAGGCGGCUCACUGGCUCGGUACUGACGCUGAGGUGCGAAAGCGUGGGGAGCAAACAGGGUUAGAUACCCUGGUAGUCCACGCCGUAAACGAUGGAAGCUAGCCGUCAGGGUGCAUGCAUCUUGGUGGCGCAGUUAACGCAUUAAGCUUCCCGCCUGGGGAGUACGGUCGCAAGAUUAAAACUCAAAGGAAUUGACGGGGUCAUAGCUGUUUCCU